rnacentral:rRNA from 1 species
UACGUAGGUGGCAAGCGUUGUCCGGAAUUAUUGGGCGUAAAGCGCGCGCAGGUGGUUUCUUAAGUCUGAUGUGAAAGCCCCACGGCUCAACCGUGGAGGGUCAUUGGAAACUGGGGAACUUAGUGCAGGAGGAGAAGAGUGGAAUUCCACGUGUAGCGGUGAAAUGCGUAGAGAUGUGGAGGAACACCAGUGGCGAAGGCGACUCUUUGGCCUGUAACUGACACUGAGGCGCGAAAGCGUGGGGAG